rnacentral:lncRNA from 1 species
GGAUGUUAGCUCGAAUGACUGGCCUUUGAUACCUCUUAUUUAAUGGACAUUGCAAAAUAUCUGAGAAAUUAUCUCUCUUGGCAACAAUAGACAUAAUGUAGCUUAGCCUCUCUCCUACAAAGUCGAGUGUUUGAGGCACAAAAACAACUAGUCAGAGAUGAAAAAAAAGACAGAAAACUGUUCGAUUCAGAACAAUAUCAUGUAGGAAAGAUGCAAAACAAAUAACACUUCUCAUGUCAACCAACAGGAACCACGUCUGUUUCUUUUUAUCAGAUCUACGAGUUCAUGUGUGAGGCAAACAUACUCUAGUUUGUUCAAUCGAACGUGACCUGGACUUUGCAUUUGGAUGAAGCUCUCGGAAGCAUUAAGAGAUCCGCCAAGAUCU